CCCCUAUGGACGUACCGGUACGUCUAGCCCUUUGUGCAGCGUCAGGGACACAUCCCUGCCGCUGCAUGGGAGAUCAGGCUGUCGUUUGACAGCCUGGACUCCCCCCUGACAGCAGAAGCCAGCGUCGCUGGCUUUCUGCUGCCCGAUCUCCUGUAACAGCUUCCGGCGCGAUCGGGCUUUCCCUUCCAGGUCACGUCACUACUGACGUGACCUGGAAGUUCAAAGGAGGACAGGGUAUCCCUGCAGGGUCCGUAAUCAGGAGAGGCGGCUGAACAAUUUAGGAUAGAUUUCUCUGCCGUAACACAUACCCUGUACAAAAAAUCCUAAGAAUACUACAAAA